CAGGAAGUUAGGGCAACAAGUUGCAAAGCAUAAGCAAAAAUGAGCCGUGGAGCAGCCGCAUCCGGUGGCCCGAAGGGGAAGAAGAAGGGCGUGACCUUCGUCAUCGAUUGUGCGAAGCCAGUCGAGGACAAGAUCAUGGACAUCGCCUCGUUGGAGAAGUUUCUUCUCGAGAGGAUCAAGGUUGGCGGUAAAGCUGGCGCACUUGGUGACUCGGUUACCGUCACUCGAGACAAGAACAAGAUCACCGUCAACUCCGAUAGCAAUUUCUCCAAGAGGUAUCUCAAAUACUUGACUAAGAAGUAUUUGAAGAAACACAACGUUAGAGAUUGGCUUCGGGUUAUUGCUUCAAACAAGGAUCGAAAUGUCUAUGAAUUGAGAUACUUCAAUAUUGCCGAG
rnacentral:misc_RNA from 1 species